GUCUACGGCCAUACCACCCUGAACGCGCCCGAUCUCGUCUGAUCUCGGAAGCUAAGCUGGGUCGGGCCUGGUUAGUACUUGGAUGGGAGAAAAUAACCAUGACAUAUUCU
ensembl:rRNA 5S_rRNA 5S ribosomal RNA